GCCACAUGGUGCCUCUCUCUCCCUAACGCCUCUCCCUCCCUAAGGCCUCUCCCUCCCUAAGGCCUCUCCCUCCCUAAGGCCUCUCUCUCCCUAAGGCCUCUCCCUCCCUAAGGCCUCUCUCUCCCUAAGGCCUCUCUCUCCCUAACGCCUCUCUCUCCCUAAGCCCUCUCCCUCCCUAAGGCCUCUCCCUCCCUAAGGCCUCUCCCUCCCUA